rnacentral:tRNA from 1 species
GCCAGUGUGGCAUAGUGGUUUGAGUUUUGGAUUGCAACUCUGGAGAGCAGGGUUCGAUUCCCAGCUUAGCUA